UUCCUACGGGAGGCUGCAGUGAGGAAUUUUGCGCAAUGGGGGAAACCCUGACGCAGCAACGCCGCGUGAGUGAAGAAGGCCCUUGGGUCGUAAAGCUCUGUCAAGUGGAAAGAAAAUGUUUAUUACGAAUGGUAAUAAGCAUUGACGGUACCGCUAAAGGAAGCACCGGCUAACUCCGUGCCAGCAGCCGCGGUAAUACGGGGGGUGCUAGCGUUAAUCGGAUUUAUUGGGCGUAAAGCGCGCGUAGGCGGCUUCAUAAGUCAGAUGUGAAAGCCCGGGGCUCAACCUCGGAAGUACAUUUGAAACUGUGGAGCUUGAGUAUGGGAGAGGGAAGUGGAAUUCCUGGUGUAGCGGUGAAAUGCGUAGAUAUCAGGAGGAACACCGGUGGCGAAGGCGACUUCCUGGACCAAUACUGACGCUGAGGCGCGAAGGUGUGGGGAGCAAACAGGAUUAGAUACCCUGGUAGUC
rnacentral:rRNA from 1 species